rnacentral:lncRNA from 1 species
ACGGUCUGUCGUUUAGUCUCAUUUUACAAGGUUCACCUAGCCCAAAACCGUGAUAUUGUGCUUAAUUUGAAUCCACUAUUCUUCCAGCCAUCACAGGUCAGUAGAGAUUUCAUUGUCUCUGUUUUAUUUCUUUUGAAAAUUAGAGUCAAAUCUAGGCAGAGGAUGCUGUUUUCUACAGCUCUUAGCUAUGUUUCUAGAAUCACGCACCUGCUCUUAUUGGCUAACAGCCUUCAUCUUCAACAAAGUUCUACUGCGACUCGGGAAUAGCUCAUCCUCCACUGUUCCUAUCAGAUACAUACUUUUAAUUGAAGCAAAUGAGAGUAUGUCAUCAUCAGUGUUGGUAUAUAUCAAUCGUUAUCAAAUAAAUUGUCUACUCUAACCCUAUCCAUGACGACAUCCACAAUAACUUGAGCCUUGACCACAAACAUCCUAACCCUUAACAAAUUCUAAUCCACAACCAUCCUAAAAAUAAACUGUCUACUCUAACUCCAUCGAUAACCACAUCCACUCUAACUUGAGUCAUAAACACAACCAUCCUAACCAUGACCUCAUCCAUGACCAUUUCCACCCUAAUCCCAUCCAUGACCCUAUCCAUCCUCACCCCAUCCAUAACCAUACCUCUGUCUAAGACAACCAAUCUACCAUUAACCAUAACCCCAAGAACGACCUAUUUAAGUCCAACAACUCUGUCCACCCCAACUCAUGUUGUCAAUACCCAUGCAUUUAUCAUGUCUGACCACAUGUGUCUAACCACAAAACAUUUGUGUUAGCUUGCUUAAUUUACCGACAACCACAUUUUCUAAUUGAUUACUAACAUGACACCAAUUUAAGUUAAGUUUGACCACAACUCUUUAUCCUAGAGCUUCUGUUUUUAUCAAGGGUAAAUUCGUCAUAAUAAACCAAGAAGAUAAGACCAAAAUGCAAUUCGAGC